UAUAGGUUUUUCCAGUCUUUUCCAUCCUAUCAGUUCCAUCCUUUCUUUUUGCAUUCUUUAAAUAAACAAAUGUUGUUGUUUUUUCAGUAUUCCAGUUCCUUAAUGACUUCAUCAAUCAAGUGACAAGUGACAUCAUUUCGGUGAGAAAACAACAGCACAAACAUUAAUUAUGGAGGAAUGGAAGCUCAGAGCGAACUGGUUUCCUGCCAGAUGUCGACAUGUCAUUGGUGAGAUCUUCCGCUGGGGACAACAAAACACCUCGGCCGCACCAAAGAAUCCAGCUGUCUGGUCAAGAAGAAAAAUAAUAAAUAAUCCUAUGCACGGACGCUUGCCAAUCGUGAAAAAGUGAGGGGUAAAUAAACACAUUACAGAAUGAAAGAGAACUUUGCUUGGCUGAUUACAUGUUUUCAGUGCAAUUGUGGUUAAAUGGAUUUUUCCCGUUAAGUGUUUACCUAUGGAAGAGUAAGACUAUGUAGACUGCCAC
rnacentral:lncRNA from 1 species